GACGAACCGUGCGAACGUUGUUCGGAAUCACUGGGCUUAAAGGGCGCGUAGGCGGGUCAGCAAGUCCGGGGUGAAAUCUUUCGGCUCAACCGGAAAAGUGCCUCGGAUACUGCUGGUCUUGAGGGAGGUAGGGGUUUGUGGAACUUCUGGUGGAGCGGUGAAAUGCGUUGAUAUCAGAAGGAACGCCGGUGGCGAAAGCGACGAACUGGACCUCUUCUGACGCUGAGGUGCGAAAGCGUGGGGAGCAAACAGG
rnacentral:rRNA from 1 species